rnacentral:rRNA from 1 species
AUUGAACGCUGGCGGCAGGCUUAACACAUGCAAGUCGAACGCGUGGCGGACGGGUGAGUAAUGCUUGGGAAUCUAGCUUAUGGAGGGGGAUAACUACGGGACACUGUAGCUAAUACCGCAUACCAUCAGAUGAACCCAUAUGGGAUUAGCUUGUAGGUGAGGGAAAGGCUCCCCUAGGCGACGAUCCCUAGCUGGUCUGAGAGGAUGAUCAGCCACAAUGGAACUGAGACACGGCCCAGACUCCUACGGGAGGCAGCAGUGGGGAAUAUUGCACAAUGGGCGAAAGCCUGAUGCAGCCAUGCCGCGUGUAUGAAGAAGGCCUUCGGGUUGUAAAGUACUUUCAGUCGGGAGGCGUUACCCGCAGAAGAAGCACCGGCUAACUCCGUGCCAGCAGCCGCGGUAAUAC